rnacentral:rRNA from 1 species
CUACGGGUCGCUGCAGUGAGGAAUAUUGCACAAUGGGGGGAACCCUGAUGCAGCAACGCCGCGUGGAGGAUGACGCAUUUCGGUGUGUAAACUCCUUUUAUAUGUCAAGAAAAUGACGGUAGCAUAUGAAUAAGCGCCGGCUAACUCCGUGCCAGCAGCUGCGGUAAUACGGAGGGCGCAAGCGUUACUCGGAAUCACUGGGCGUAAAGGACGCGUAGGCGGGUUGAAAAGUCAGGUGUGAAAGCCUACAGCUUAACUGUAGAACUGCACUUGAAACUCUCAAUCUAGAGUAUGGGAGGGGCAGAUGGAAUUAGUGGUGUAGGGGUAAAAUCCGUAGAUAUCACUAGGAAUACCUAAAGCGAAGGCGAUCUGCUGGAACAUUACUGACGCUAAGGCGUGAAAGCGUGGGGAGCAAACAGGAUUAGAUACCCGCGUAGUC